GGUUGUCAGUCUGGUGGCUCAAACUUCUGGUUCAUUAAACUUCGCAGUAUCUCUGACAAAAAAGAAAAUUGUGCACGUAAAGCAGAUCGAGGCGAGCGAAGUAAUUAAAGAUAAAGAAGUUCCGUUCUUGACAAAACACGGUAAUCGAUCAUGGCGAAUUGUAAACUUACAGUCUUUAUUGCCGCGAUUUGCAUCAUACAUUUUGUGUCCUCCAAGUCAUCUCAGUGUGUGACUGACUGUACCAGCGUAUCAAAACAAUGUCUGGACGACUGUGAUGAUCAACUGUGCGCUAAUAAUUGUACUGAGACAAGGGAAAACUGUUACAAAGAGUGUAACACACUUAGAAGAGAAUUUUUCUCUCGUUUUUUCGACGAUCGUUUCAACCCUAAAGAUGAUGUUAAAGACAACGACGAGGGAUUCAAGAAGGACUUUGUAAAGUAACUUCAUCUAAAUACACGGAAUCUCGAAGUAUUCUGGACGUUAAAAGAAGUGGCUAGGGUAUAUUGUAAAUUGUUAAAGAAUAUUCAUCCACAAAUGAAAAAUAAAUUGUGACACUCUGGUAAAUAAGGAAUUCGACGAGGAAGCUUAAGUUUUAGAUGGUUGACUGUAAGUUGACAGUCCAUAACAUAUUUAGAGUAAAGUGACGCGUGCAAAAUACUAGGCCAUGUAAUAUCGAAAGCAAUUGUUAAUAUUCAAUGUAAAAAAAUGCAAUUGUUUAACUGUCAAAUGAAAUAAAAAAAACACUUAAACAA